rnacentral:rRNA from 1 species
GACGAACGCUGGCGGCGUGCUUAACACAUGCAAGUCGAACGGAAAGGCCCUGCUUUUGUGGGGUGCUCGAGUGGCGAACGGGUGAGUAACACGUGAGUAACCUGCCCUUGACUUUGGGAUAACUUCAGGAAACUGGGGCUAAUACCGGAUAGGAGCUCCUGCUGCAUGGUGGGGGUUGGAAAGUUUCGGCGGUUGGGGAUGGACUCGCGGCUUAUCAGCUUGUUGGUGGGGUAGUGGCUUACCAAGGCUUUGACGGGUAGCCGGCCUGAGUGGGUGACCGGCCACAUUGGGACUGAGAUACGGCCCAGACUCCUACGGGAGGCAGCAGUGGGGAAUAUUGCACAAUGAGCGGAAGCCUGAUGCAGCAACGCCGCGUGCGGGAUGACGGCCUUCGGGUUGUAAACCGCUUUCGCCUGUGACGAAGCGUGAGUGACGGUAAUGGGUAAAGAAGCACCGGCUAACUACGUG